rnacentral:rRNA from 1 species
AGCAGCCGCGGUAAUUCCAGCUCCAAUAGCGUAUAUUAAAGUUGUUGCAGUUAAAAAGCUCGUAGUUGAAUUUCGGGAUUAGUACGCUGGUCGUGCCUUUGGUAUGUACUGGUGUUACUGGUUCCUACCUUCUGACGAACCGUCAUGUCAUUAAUUUGGUGUGGCGGGGAAUCAGGACUGUUACUUUGAAAAAAUUAGAGUGUUUAAAGCAGGCUCGCGCUUGAAUACAUUAGCAUGGAAUAAUGAAAUAGGACGUUCGAUCCUAUUUUGUUGGUUUCUAGGAUUGACGUAAUGAUUAAUAGGGAUAGUUGGGGGCAUUAGUAUUCAAUUGUCAGGGGUGAAAUUCUUGGAUUUAUUGAAGACUAACUACUGCGGAAGCAUUUGCCAAGGAUGUUUUCAUUAAUCAAGAACGAAAGUUAGGGGAUCGAAGACGAUCAGAUACCGUCGUAGUCUUAACCAUAAACUAUGCCGACUAGGGAUCGGAUGAUGUUAUUUUUAAUGACUCAUUCGGCGCCUUACG